UACGGAGGGGGCUAGCGUUGUUCGGAAUUACUGGGCGUAAAGCGCGCGUAGGCGGCUUUGUAAGUUAGAGGUGAAAGCCCAGGGCUCAACCCUGGAAUUGCCUUUAAGACUGCAUCGCUUGAACAUCGGAGAGGUAAGUGGAAUUCCGAGUGUAGAGGUGAAAUUCGUAGAUAUUCGGAAGAACACCAGUGGCGAAGGCGGCUAUCUGGACGGUUUCUGACGCUAAGACGCGAAAGCGUGGGGAGCGAACAGG
rnacentral:rRNA from 1 species